UACGUAGGGGGCAAGCGUUAUCCGGAAUCAUUGGGCGUAAAGCGCGUGUAGGCGGUUCCGUAAGUCCGCUCUGAAAGCCCAGGGCUCAACCCUGGGAGGCGGGUGGAUACUACGGAACUGGAGUACGGAAGAGGAGAUUGGAAUUCCUGGUGUAGCGGUGAAAUGCGCAGAUAUCAGGAGGAACACCAACAGCGAAGGCAGAUCUCUGGGACGUUACUGACGCUGAGACGCGAAAGCGUGGGAGCGAACAGG
rnacentral:rRNA from 1 species